GUGUCAGCCGCCGCGGUAAUACGGAGGGUGCUAGCGUUGUUCGGAAUUAUUGGGCGUAAAGGGCGCGUAGGCGGUUAUGUAAGUCAGAUGUGAAAUACUUCGGCUCAACCGAAGAACUGCAUUUGAUACUACAUAGCUAGAGUACAGAAGAGGGAAAUGGAAUUCCCGGUGUAGAGGUGAAAUUCGUAGAUAUCGGGAGGAACACCAGUGGCGAAGGCGAUUUCCUGGUCUGAUACUGACGCUGAGGCGCGAAAGCGUGGGGAGCAAACAGGAUUAGAUACCCUGGUAGUCCACGCUGUAAACGGUGAUCACUAGGUGUGGGAGGUGUAAUACCUUCUGUGCCGAAGCAAACGCGUUAAGUGAUCCGCCUGGGAAGUACGGCCGCAAGGUUGAA
rnacentral:rRNA from 1 species